UUUUUUUUUUUUUUUUUUUUGUGUUCUUAGUACUUAAUAUCUCGAUUCUACUUUGUGUCAAAAAGUAAUUUCUGCUUAUAGUUGUGUCAAAAAUUUGGAUAGUUGUGUAUUUGUUCCUUUAUUAGAAACUUGCAAAUUGUCCUCUUGUUGUGUGUUAAGUACUUCUUGAUCUUCAACGGCCUAUAUAUUUUUGCAAUUGGAAUGCUGAAAAUGAAAUGAAUGCAGAAAAUUGGGCAGUUUUAUGCGAUGAACUUGAAUCUGGCGGAUAGGAGAGUCCUCCCUGCUACCUAAUUCAAGGUUCAAAUCUUAAACCUGACAGUUGCCGGUAGCGAGAAAAAAAAAAUUGUUUCAGCAAAAGUGUGUGUGCAUUCUGCCAGGUCCUCAUGUGGUUUUCGGUAUUAAAUUUUGCUGGUUUAAUCGCUGUUAAAUUGGCAGCAGUCAUGAAUUCGGAAAUAUGGUUUAGUUUUGGUUCCAAAAAUUUACUAUCUACGCACUUCAGGUUAUCAGAAUGAGAAAUAAUCCCUUACCUAAAAAUAACAAAGUUUAUAGGUCUGAUGUUUUUAGUAGUCAUCUUCCUGCUUAUGUUUUAAGUUUAAGGUUUUGCUCGAGUCAGAGCUGCUAUGUUUGGCCUGUUCUAUUAAGGUAAUCUUCUUUGUUUCUUGGUGAAGUUGAGAUGUGGCUUAGGACUGCCAGGCCUGAAUACAAGUCAAAAGUUGUGCCUCCAUUCUUUUGAUUCAGAACAAUAAUACAUGGAUGGAUGCCCAUUUUCUUCAAAUAUGAUGACUUUGUAGACAUAUUACACGGUUAUUACCAUCUUGAAAAAUAAUUUAUUGCAUCAAAUUUAGGGUUCCAACUUAUAAGGUCAUUUGUAGAUCUUGAUAGACAGAAAAUAUGGUGAAUUAUGGUCUUCGGUUAUUGGGUAAGGCUUGCACUGGCAGUACAAGUUGCUACCACCUUAUUCCUAUACAGUGUUUAAUGUCCAUCUCUUGGUAUUAAUCAGUCCUUGGUUUGUAUCAAAAGAAUGUCCAGUUUUGUGUAUGCAGUAUUGUUGUUGGGAUAAUUGCAGAAACCUCCCCUGAGGUUUCUUUGAGUAGCACUCACUUCCCCUGUGAUUUACAAAAUAGCAUUGACCGCCACUAGAAACUAAUUGGGGCCUAUUGUUGUCAAAAGAGUGUGUGAAUUUAGCUAGCAACCCCCAAUUAUCUGUGGUUAUCUGAUGAACAAAUUUUACAAAAGAAUGAAUGUGGCUUGUGAACAAAUUGAGGGAGUAAAUAAGCUAAUUAAUUACUAAUUAAAUAAAUUGAGUAACUAAUUGUUUAGUAUUAUCCUUUCAAAAAUAUUUAGUAACUUAAACAAAUUGUGUAGUAUUACCCUUUCAAAAAUGCAGACGAAUCCAGGCUUGGAAGAAGUGUAACGGGGGGACCUAACCAGGAGACAAAGUGUUCAAUCUGUCAGCCGGUUACUGACCAUACGAAAAUCCACCGAGUAACCAACAUUUGGGUCCCAAACUGUUGGACAAAUAUGGUGGACCAAUCCGAGCUAACCAUGGAACGGAUUGUAACCGAUUGAUGAAACCGGUGGAGAAAAUGCAAAAUCCAUCCAACGGAUUCGUGUCAAACUUCAUUGUUUUAAUUUUAAACGAUUUUUGUAUUUUGACUUAUUUUCCACUUUCUAGUGUCUGUUUGGGUCUUGUAAGCCUACUAAGCCAUAUUUAACCUAUGUAGCAUGUUAAUUGAGUCUCAUUAGAGUUUAGAAAAUUGUGUCAAAGUAAAGUUGUCAAGUCCAAUUAGGAAGUUUGCAUUGUUUCCAUCUUGGAUUGGGUUUUUGUGUCUUAUAAGGCUAUAAAUAAGCCUAACUUUUAACGUUUUCAGAAGUUAGACGAAUGUGAGAAUUAAAGUUUGAGAGUUUCAUCUCUUUCAUGUUCCUUUGUGAAUGCCCUUGAUACAAAGUGAGUCGUAUAUCUUUUGUUUAAGUUUUGGCUUAUCAAUUCAAGAAUGCAUUGAAUUGUGGCACCUUUCUAUCCUUCUAAAUAAUCUCAAGCUGCCCUUAAUUGUGUUAGAAUCCAUCUUUUAUAUCCAUAACCUGAUCAAAACAGAUCAUUCCACUACCUGAUUGACUUGGUUCUUUAAGACAGGUUUUUGUCGGGUCGAGUUCGCAUCAAACACUUCACCUCCAACUAUCAAACUAAAGUCAAGGAAACCAACCGUGUUACCCCCAAAACCAGUUGUAAUAGCGGAUUGCUAAACCAGACCUCAUUUAUAAGUUGGUGCAAGUUUAGACCUCAUUUAGCCGUUUAACUAGCCGUUGCUUUCACUUGAUACUGAAGCUGCUGCAGGUGCAUUGGAAAUGGUUUGCACUUAUACACCCUGAAGUUUAUUGAUCCUUAAUAGCUUUUGUCCUUCUUUUGCUAAUACUACUAGGCAAGCAAGACGAAGGGCAAUUUGGCACAAAUUUCUCAUCUCACUCCUUAAAACAAUUUUUGAAUGGGACCCUUUCUAGCUUGGACCGAAUCUGCAACAAGUUCCUUAAGUUCAGUGAUGGUCAGUGCAAUUUCUUAAACCAAAAGAGGUGAGUGCUACUUUCAGAAACCUCGGGGGAGGUUUCUACAAUUUUCCCUUGUUGUUUUACAGUACCUCUGCAUUUUUCUCUCUAGCCAUCAUGAAUUCUGACCUUUGCAUUGUCUCCCUCCCUUUCUCCCUGGAGGUAAUUAUUUCAUUUUCUUUGCACCGCCAACUUCGUAUGUGUGGAAGUGAUUAGUAGGGAAGCAUGGAGCCCCUAGCAACAUUGUUGCUGAAUUUUGGUUUCAAACAAGCAUGGAAAAUCAGAUUUUGCAUAAUUGUACUCGAAUCGGAUACACAUGUUAAUGAAGGACUUGGAAUGCAAAGCAGUCCAUAAUUGGUGAGAGGGAAACUUUUGUGCCGACCAGCUAGCUACAAUGAGGUUGAAGUUUUUUACGGGAGUGACAACUUUCUUGUGAGCCUCUAAACAGCUAAAAAGAAACUAUGGGAAAAUGGUCAAUUUCGUCUCUAAAUUAUUUUUUUUUGGUGCUGAUUUAGUUUCGAACUUUUAUUUCUGGCUCAUUUGAUGCUUGAACUUAUUUUGCAGUUCUUAUUAAAGACCUUUGCUAUAAUACGAUUAUCUAAAUCCGAUUUGGCUCCUAAUGGACCAACUAAAUAGAGAUAUUAUGAGAAUGUCACUCAUAGGACUAUAAUAAAAUAAAUAAAUUAUAUAAAAAAUCACCGGAUAAAACUUUUGAAUUGUGUAACAAAUCACCAAAUAAAACUUUUAAAAACUUAAUCUUGUGAUUUUUUAUAUGAUUCACUUGAUUUAUUACAGUCCCGUGUGUGAUGUUCCCUAAAUACCCCUUUUAACUUAGCCAAUUGGGAACCAGAUUGGUUUUAGGUGGUGACCCCGCUGUGGAGGUCCUUAAUUUGGAACUGCAAAGUAAGUUCACGUAUUACAUUGAUUAGGAAUAAAAGUUAGGGACUGAAUUGACACUAAUGAAAAAGUUUAGGAAUGGAACUAGCCAUUUUCCCAAAAAACUUUUCAUUGUGAAACAGGAAAUAUUAGUGCAAGGGUUUGUUUAAUGCAAGAUAUGCGAGUGUCAGGGAUUCAGCCUGAUACAUAUACUUACACCACGUUGAAGGAUACAUAUUGCAAGUCUGGUGAAUGGAUCAAGGCUCAUGAACUUUUGUGCAAGACUUCAACCGACUACUAUUACAUAUAGUGUAUAAAUGGAUUUUGUAUAUUUGGCAUUUUAAAAGAUGGUGAAAAGGUGAAUUAUUCAUGGUCUACUAGCAAGAGAAUGAAAUUGUUUCCUUGCUGGAUUAAUUGCUAAUAUCCUUUUUGAUAGGAGCCUAUUUUGAGCUUGCAGUUUCUAUAGUUUAUAGGGUUUAUGUGUCACCCAAACUUGAACUCAAGAGAAAUGAUUAUUAUUUGAAGGCAAUAUGUAGUAAUUGAUAAAAAUAAAUAGUGGGGGAAUGCGAGUAGCACGGCCGAGACUGGUAAGUCCGUCUUUACAGUAAGGUCUCGUGUUCGACCCCUGCUAUGGUAAAAUUGUUGGCAUCCUUGGGCAGGACUCUGCUGGUCUUAGGGGGAUUUGUCUGGUCAAAUAAAAAAAAAGGCUGAGACACCCCCUAAGCGAAAAAAAAAAAAAAUAGUGGGGGAAUGCCUAACCUGUGAUUAAAAUAAAUUCCUAAUGAUGGCAACUCCAAAAUUGGUCAACAGACGUACAUUUGAGUACUAGCCAACUAUUUUUGCUUAACUAUCUUAAUGCUAGCUGUUACAUCCAAUUCCUUUUUCUUUUUCUUAACUUAGUAAUAAAACCAAGACAAAAAAAAAAGAUGGAGUUUAAAUUGCCUACAUAGAAUUAACUGUUUACACAUCAUAAGAUAAAUUUUGAAUAAUUUUCAUUCUUAUUAAUUUAAGAUGAAUUUUCUUGUUUAGUUUUGUUUUGCAUUGUCAUUUCCUUUGAAUUUCCAAUUCGAAUUCACUUUCCAUUCCCUCACUGGUUUCAUCCUUCCAACCAAAAAAAAAAAAAAAACAAACGUACUGCUAAUUACUUUGUAAUACAAUUGCAAACAAGUGAUAGUAAAUAACAUCAUCAAAAGAAAGGGAAAUUAACAGCACAAAAUAGUGGUAGAACCUCAGGAGGAUAAGAUUUUACUACAUUUUCCUGCCCAAGACAGAUAAAAAAAAAAAAGGGUAAAAUGCUUCAUCUGUUGAUCAUAGAUUAAUCUUCUUAAAAUGCUUCCAUCCUCUGUGGAAGCGGGGUCUUGAUAACUUGCAAAAUUUGCACCACUUCUGCCAUGGAAGGCCUACUCGAAGGUAUCUGAGAAGUGCAGACAAGGGCUAAUUUUAGAACCGGCGAAACCUCAUCUUCUGGAUAAUUCCCCAUGCUAGGAUCAACACAAUCCAACGCAUUCCCUUGUUCAAGCAAGACUCUUACAUGAUCACUCAGAAUCAUAACAUUGUCUUCUCCAUACUCUACAGGUCUUCUACCAGUUACUAUCUCAAGUAUCAGCACUCCAAAACCGAAGACAUCGCAUUUUUCAUUGACUCGUAAGCUCUGGCAUGCUAAUUCAGGUGCAACAUAGCCUAAUGCACUCUGAAAUCUGCUGCUUAUCACAUGUUUAUCGAGCUUCGUUAGCAGUCUUGCCAGGCCGAAAUCUGAUAUCUUGGGAUUCAUAUGUUCAUCAAGAAGAAUGUUGCUAGGCUUUACGUUGUAGUGAAUUAUUGGUGGACGGAUUGAAUGAUGCAAAUGAGCAAGUCCCUUUGCUGUUCCUAGCACAAUCUUGAAUCUGGUGGCCCAAGUCAGGGGUGCAGCUGAUGGUGGCCUCUCGUGAAGUUUCGCCUGUAAGCUUCCUUCAGGAGCAUAAUCAGAAACCAGAAGCUGCAACUGAGGAGUCCAGUAGUAUCCUCUGAGAGGAAUGAGGUUUUGAUGCCUCGCUCUGCCUAAAGUUCGGACUUCUCGAUCAAAGUCUUCAGGAUACUCCACUAUAUUUGAUGUCACCAGUUUCUUGAUAGCUACAACCUUUCCUUCCCCACCCAAUGAAGCCUUGUAAACGGUUCCGAAGACUCCUCCUCCGAUUUCGGCUGCCUUGUUCAGUAUUGAUUCAAGACUAGAGCUAAUCCAAUCUGGAGAAGAUUUUGAGUCGAACAAAAUGAGCUUCCCUGCAGCUACACUGCCAGACUUUGUUGAGCUUGAGCACAUGCUUUCUAGAGCGUUAUCAACGAAGGCAAUUUUUCUUCUAGCUGAAGCAUUAAUUAAAGUUAUAACCAUCACACCAACAGCUAUCACAGCAGCUGCUGAAAUUGCAACAAUGGCUGAAACACUGAGGAAUCUGUGAUGCCUAAAACUUCUUGUACUUCUUGAAGGCUCAUCGUCUUGGUUCUGAUCACCUCCAUGAUUGCCAUAAGCAUAUGGAUCAAGAACUAAAGGCUUUGGAACAUUCAUUUUGCAAGGUCCCCUCAAUAGGGGAGAACAAAUACCCAAAUUUCCUUCCAAUGCACUCUGAUCUAAGUUCUGAAAUAUGCUCCCAGGCCCAGCAGGAAGUCUACCAAUGAGCCUAUUGUAGGAUAUGUUAACUGCAAGAAGAUUUUCCAAUUUUCCAAGAUCUUGAGGUAUCUCUCCACUAAGUUGGUUGAAUUCCAGCUUCAGAAUCUUGAGCUUCUUCAACAGAGAAACAGAUGGGGGUAUGGGACCUGUUAAGCUAUUGUGGGACAAGCUCCUGCAAUAGAGAGUUGUAAAGAAUAUUCUUAUCAUUGAAGAAAAUAUCAGGAAAUAAAAAAAAAAAAAAAACUGAAUCUUGGAUAGAUCAAAGACUUACAACAAGAAUAGGGAUGAACAAUUGCCUAUCUCGUUUGGAAUCGGCCCUGUCAAUGAAUUUUCAUCUAGUUGAAGAAUUCGUAUGCUUCCAGAAUCACAUAUAUCUUCUGGGAUUGAUCCAGUUAGAGCACUAUUUCGAAGAUCUAACACAGUGAGAUUCUGGUAGUAUCCAAUUUCUGGGGGCAGUCUUGACUGAAAACUAUUCCAUGACAAAUUCAAGUAUCUUAACUUGGAAUACAACCCCAUUUCUGCUGGUAAACCUCCUGUUAGAUUGUUCCCCGACAAAUCUAACACAUGGAGAGACUCAAACAGUUCACUCGAGCCAGAUGGAAUUGAACCAGUGAGCUCAUUUCUUGACAAAUCUAACUCAUCCAACUCCAUGUCAAACAGGCCUUCUGGAAUGCUACCAUUGAGGGCAUUUCCACUCAACUGGAUCACUGAAAGGCCGCCACACAAAGCCAUGGACGUGGGAAUGUUUCCUGUUAGUCUAUUAUUCGACAAAUCAAGAAACUCCAAUGCAUUCAUUUCACCAAUAGACAUUGGCAGUGAACCCUGUAAUUUAUUGCCUGAGAAGUCCAAAUAUUCCAGGCUGCUCAGCUUGUUAAUCCACUGAGGGAAAUCUCCAUCCAGAACAUUAUUUGACAAACUAAAAAAGUUAAGAGCAUUGAGCCUCUGAAGUGACUCUGGAAGUGCUCCAGUGAAAAGAUUAUUACUGAAGUCUAUUGUACUUAAAUGUGGACAGAAUCCAAUAUCAGUUGGUAUUGAUCCAGAGAAGUGAUUUCCUUGUAACAGAAGCUCUUUCAAGUUAUGCAUAGCUGAAAUGCCAAGCGGUAAUUGUCCUGAUAGCUCAUUAUUCGAAAGAUCCAAUGUCCGGAGCCUAGUCAAGGAUUGAAACAUUUCUUUAAAAUUUGGGUCACCAGAGAAAUGGUUAUUGGACAUGUUCUGAUGGUUCAAGUUUGUGCAUCUAGACAGGGUUGUAGGAAAUGCCCCUUCAAGGAGAUUUCCAGCUAAAGAAAUGAACCUUAGCGAUUGACAGUUUUCGAAUAUAUCAUCAGAAAUAGGCCCUGAUAAUAAAUUCUCUGAUAGGUCUAGGAACUGGAUUGAGCUCAUGUUUGCAACAGAAGAUGGAAUGUUACCUCUGAGGUUAUUCUGACUAAGGUUAAGUCUUUCUAGGCCAGUUAUAAGAGCAAACUCUGGACUAAUACUACCAGUUAAAUUGUUGUUUGACAAAGAAAGUACCUUCAAAUCCUGCAAUUUUUCCAGGCCUCUUCCCAUCUUGCCUGAUAAGCCUAAUCCAUCAAGGGAUACUUCAGAAACUCUGCCAUUUCUUGGAUUGCAUUUUACGAACUCCCACGCACAUGGAGAGCUGUCAUCUUCACUCCAGGAUUCUAGAUGGGAAAAUGGAUCAUAAAUGGCUGACUUGAAGACAAUGAGGCCUAGAACAUCAUCAUUGAGUGGUAGAGAAUCUUCAGCUUUACAAAUUCCUAGUAUUGCUAUUGAAAGAAAACAAAACAAGAAUAAAGGUGAUUGAAACUUCAUCAUCCUUCUUUCCACUUCUCUGCUUCCGACCAGCAUCUAAGUUCAGUUUUGCAUUGCCAAAACACUGUAGUACCAAAUUAAGUCUGCAAAACUUUUUGACUUGGCACAGUAAGAUACUGUACCAAAUCUGAAUCAAAGCUGCAUCAGCUUUUGUCACGAGAAGAGAGAAAGAGGGAGAAAGGAAUACUGAUGGGUGGUGAUACAAGAUAGACGAUUAGUUACUGGUUUGUGGUCUUUUGCAGCGAUAAAAGGAGAAACAAUUUCCAACAGAAUAAAGACGUAUAUAUGAAGACCAGUAGAUCAUGACAAAACAGCCUCUUAGACAUAGAAUACUUGGAAUUUUGCAUGCAACCUUUGAGGCCCAACUGUCUCAAACUAGAGAAAUCUCAAGAGACAUGAGGUGUGAUGUGUGGCUUCAAGAUAUAAAAUGCACCAUCUUAUUUACUUUCAAUGUUCCAUUGAUAAUUGAACACUACGUCAUAUGGUAAAUGAAUAUCCUAUACAUUCUACUUAGUUUCGAAAUUCCAUUGACAAUAAAAUAUUAUGUUGUAUAUUUCAUAAGUAUCUCACACAUUCGUUACAAUAUCAUGCCAUUUCUAAAGUUCCAAAUAUUAUUUGAAAUAAUUACUGUAACACUUUUUGCGAUGUAAUGUAUGUGAAAUAAAAAGUUGAUUAAAAAAGUAAAAAGAUGUAUUGAAAAAUGUGUUUGUGAUGCUAGUAAAUAAUUUUUUGGCAAAUAAUUCAUAUCCAAACACACAUAUAUCAUCAAGAAAUUUUGUGUUGAGAGUGCUCAGUUCUUAAGGUUUUGAGACAAUGAAGGUGUAAUAAAUUUUCCCUUAGAAAAAAAUUAAGUAUUUAUGUGAGAUGUCACAACAGCUGAUAAUGUUACACUUGAUUUUGCAAUUUGUGUUAUUGUGUUAUAUAUCUAACAAAAAAAAAAUCCCUUUGUUACGUUUCAAAUAUUGAUAACGCAGUUACAAUUUGAAAUUCUAACCAGGCGCAUAAGGUCCAGAAUUCAGCAAACCUGUACUACAUAUUAGUGGUAAAGUUGCAGAGAGGAUUCAGUGUGGUUGGAAUUUGGCACGAUUAUGUCUGGCUGUUGUAAUUUUUCUAUUAUUUGGUAUACAAUUACGUGACAUUAUUGUAUUUGAAGUAAAAGUGAUAUACGCGAAUAAAAUAUUUAACAUAUAUUUAGUAUAAUAUAAUGAUGUAUUUGUACACCGAAACUUUAAACAUGUACGAUAACCGGACGAAACCGCACAAAACAUAAAGUUGAAUGCCACAUCUAAAAUGUAUACAGUAUACACCAACCUAGUAUUACUCUUUAGCUUUCAAUGCUUAUGGUCUUGUGCAUCUUAAUAUGAGAAUUAAUCUUUUCUAUAUUGUCAAUACAUACGUUGAUAGAUUCAGAUGCAUAAUAAAUCAUUUUAAUUUGAUUUUAAACAUCUUUUUUAUAUAUAUGGUAUAUAUUUAGACUCGCUGAUAUAUACACUGUUAGUGUAUUAAAGAUUUAACCCAUAUUUAUUAGUUCAGAGUCUUCAUUUCUUGUGUUCAAUGACACUUGAUUUGUAUCUACCAUGAAUUGGGUUAAAGUUGACAUGUUGUUGGCCAAAUCAUAGCAACAUAAUUGGUACGUGUUUAAUAUUUACCUUUUACUUUACAACAAUGCAACACCAAGGAAUGAGAUUUGAGAUUUGAAGUUUGAAUUGGAGGAAUAACAAAGGAUGAAAAUUCCAAGGAGAAUGUCAUGGUUGUCUGCACAAGCAGCAAUUGGUCCAAGAUAGAUUUCUGCCACAUUCCCACCACCAAGUCCCAAGGUUAACUCAUUUUCUAUUGCCCAUUUCUUGCAAAUCAUUUGUCUCUUUUUUUGUCAUGAGCUGCUUGUCCUUUCACUUUCUCUUCUUACCAUACAAAAAAAAAUUGCAAAUUUUUUUGCAUAUCUUUUUUUGUAGUGGUUCUGACCACAAGAAUUUCUUGUAGUUCGCUAUUAGCCUUUUGGUUAGGGUGACAAAUAGAUUCAGAAAUGAAAGAGAAAAUGAGAAAAAAUUCACAUGAUCCAAAUUGGAGUCACGGGCCAUGCCUUGAUCAAAUUGCAGUGCAAUAGAGACCAAAACCUUAAGAAAAGUAGCGGUCCCAUAUCUAGUCUUUGCGUUAUCAUCUUGUCGUUGAAAUUAUUCAUCCUGAUAAUAAUUCUGUACACAAAAUUUGGCUCUAUAGCUCCCAUUUUGCAUGCUUCAAUUCAAUCCAAGCCAUGCCCAGCUCUCUAUCAUUUCAGAAUUUCUAUUCUUUGCAAUCAGGGAAUAGGAUAAAAUACCAAAAAGAGGGGCAUUAAUUAUUAAAAUUCUCAAAUCAUUAUCUAUUUUUUAAAUUGCACAUGAUUUCUCAAAAAAAAAAAAAAGUUUUGCAAUUUUUGCCUAAAAUAUUGACAUAGAACCCACUUUUAUUCUCUCUUUUGAAAUUUCUUGAUUUAACACUUCAAAACUUACAUUAUUCUAAAAGAGCCCACCUACAAAAAAUGAUUGUAAAUUACGAUAUUUUUAAAUGAUAGACAUGAAUAUGAGAAUCCCUAAAAUUAAGGAGGUUGGUCGAACCAGCUUUUACCAGGCCAAACUCGAUUCGAGUAUCGAGUUAUUUGGUUCAUUUUGUCGAUUCUAGUUUUGCCUUCACCAAGUAUAAAUAAUUACUAAAGUACUCGGAAAAAAGUUCCUCAUUUUUUGCAACUUAUAUAAUUGCUGAAAAACCACUAAUCUUAGCUCAGUGGCCACCAAGGUGGGUUUUAAGACCCUGUUUGGAUUGUAGGUGGGAAUUCAAAUCCCACCUGCAGUAAAAAAAAAAAAAUUCAAAAAUUGUGUCAUAACACUUCCUUAGUCUAGUAAAGUCUGUGUACCUACUAGCCCCUAAUAUUUCUCCGAAAAAAAUAUAACUGCUGAGAAUUUCAUUCAGAUAGUUUUAGGUUUUACAUCUACCACGUAUACAUGAAAACUCAAUGGUAAGCUCCUCUAAAUUAGUCAGAUUUUGUGUGACUUUAUAUGAGCACUGAGAAAUUCGAUCAAACAGAAUGGAACUCUUAUUAUGAAAUCUUGGAGCAGCAGAGGCAAAAUACCAUUAGCGAUCCUUCAUGUCAUGCUUGACAGCAUUAUAAUAUCCCACCUAGAUAAUGUCAAGCUUUGCAUUCCCCAAAUAUACAUAAAUAGUAAGGACGGUGUAUACACUUUCAACUUUAGAUGAAUAACGUGUCAUAAAUUCAAUAGUAAUAGUGUAUACAGUAUUAGUUUAUAUAAGAUUUCCUCAAAUAGUAAAGUAAUUUGAAUAAAUCAAAGAGAAAAAUGCAGUUUUGGUACCCAAAUUUUGACAUAUGAACCGUUUUAAAGGGACAAAAACAAAUUUGAUACCCAAACUUUCAACUUUUGAGUAAAUUUAGUACCCUUAACGAUUUUUUCCAAACUUGCAACUAGAAAGGUUCACGUGAUAGUCACAUGUCCGUCAAUUAUAAUAUAAAAAAUGCCAAAAAUGUAAAAUAUCCUUGAUAAAAUUAUUAGUCCUUAGCACUUAACAUCAAAAAGAUAUUUUACUUGAUAAAAUCAUUAGUCUUUAAACUUUGCACUUAGUGUCAAAAGGAUAUUUUACAUGACAUCAGAAGGAUAUUUUACAUUUUUUGGCAUGUUUUUGUACAAUAGUUGUUGGACAUGUGACUAUCACAUGAUUUUUUCCUAUAGCAAUUUGAAAAAAUUCGUCAAGAGUAUUAAAUGUGCCAAAUAGUUGAAAGAUUAGGUACCGGAUUUAUGUUUGUCCAAAAUUUGGGGACUAAAAUCGCUCAUGUGCCAACGUUUAGAUACAAAAAUUGCACUUUUCUCUAAAUCACAUUUUGCGAGACGUAUGUGAGUGUUGAAAUUAGAGGAAAUUAAAGUAUUACAUUAAAAUCUUGGAGAGGUAAUAUUCAACUACCAAUAGCAAUUUGUCAUGUCCUACCUAGAUAAUUCCAUAUUUUGCCUUCACGACAUACACAGCAAUAGCAAAGUAGUUUGAAUAAGUCAGAUUUUGUGCGAGUCAUAUGAGUGCUGGGAAUUUCAACUAGACCAAAUACCAGCUUGUGUCAAAAUCCUGGAAUACUAAUGAUAAAAUACCACUAGUGAUUCGUCAUUUCAUGCCUGACAGCAUUAUCACAUCCUACCUAGAUAUUGCCCGAGUUUUUCCAAUGACUCAGUUGGACGAGGGGCCUGGACGGUUGUCAGAAACAACCGUUCCAGGCAGUUCACGGCUUGGAUGAAGCCUCAAAAAUUUAUACGGCUCAGAUCACGUCUUGUAACUCGAUUUUUACGCCGUGUGGGACCCACAAAAAUGUUGUUUUAUUUUACUCGCUGUUGUUCAAUUGUUACACCUUGUACAGAUGAUGUUACACCAUGUACAAAUGGUGUUAAACCUUCCGGAGCGGUUGUUCUGACAACCGCUCCAGCCCCGCGUCCGACUCAGUUGGAUUUGUCAGGAGUAGGAGUAGACGUAGAUAUAGGUGCAAAUUGGUGAUAUUUGAUAAAAAAAAAAAAAAAAAAAAAGAAGGUAUACAAUUACUAGAUAAUGGCAAUCCAUGUAAAAGUUUUAGUUAAAAAAAGUGUAAAAGUUUUAGUUUUUAACAUUAAAAUAUAUGCAGUUUAGAUGGGAGUGACUUAAGUGACUUUGGAUAGUAGAUUAUAUGGAUACUUUAAAUAAAAUAUUGUAACAUUUUUUUUAAUGUAAUAUAUAUAAAAUAAAAAUGUGAUUGAAAAUGUAUUGAUAAUAUAAAUAAAUAAAUUUUACAAAUAAUCCACUAUCCAAACCAAUAGAUUUUAGGGUGGAUUUGCCCCCUCCCUCCCUUCCUCUUUUUGAGCUUGAACUACAUAUACUAAAGAAGUUAUGAAUGUAUAUCACAUAUGCGUGAUUUGAAUUUUAAAUUUAAAUUAAUGUUAUGUAGUAUAAUUUAAAUCUGUUAGUAUAAAAAAUACAUUGACAAUGCAUUAAAAAAAAUUUUCCUCUAAUAUAUUUGUAGUUCAGGUGGGAGUGACUGAAACAUUUGGAUUUCAUGCCCCCCCCCCCCCUCCCAAAAAAAAACUUUUUUGUUCUUGAACUACAUAUACUACAGCGUUAAACAUUUAAAUUUUUGAAGGCCCACCUUUUAUUAUAGAAGACUCCAUCUAACAAAAAUAUUUGUUUUUUUUUUCUCAUCUUGUUGUAAUAUUUGAUUUUCACACUAUUGUAGAUUAAUUGUGAUCUCAUCCUAAAACAAUCUGUUUCAUGCUAUAAAAUUAGUUUAUUAUUCUAAAUUCAUCAUAAUUUCCCUACGGCUAUUUUUCUCAUUUAGUAAUGUGCUCCAUUGAUUGAACAUUUAUCAGUUCAAGAAUCAAAAUCUCUUAUAUUAAACUAACCUAUUUUAUCCUGGAUAGUAUAUAACCAGAAAUAUACGAAAACCUUUUCAUCAGUCAAAAUAUUUGCAUUUCACCUCCAUUGCACCAAAGGGAUCAAGGUACACCCUUUCCUUGAUUUAAUAAGGUGCAUCAAGAAAGUGACUGAGAAUUGAUUUUGAGCACAGUUAGGGAAGAUUAGGGUAUCAUAAUCAAUGUAUUGAAUCGUUAUUAAACACAGCCAACAAUAUAAUGCCCCAAUGGCAGUCUAAAUUUUCCCUUGGCUCUCAAGAUUAGUCAUUUGGAUUGCAAUUUUUCAAAGAAAGAUUUUACCGUUUCCAUAAUCACAUUUCUUAGUUAUCUUUUUAUUUCAUAUAUAUCAAAUCACUACUAUAAAUAUAUAUCUUUUUAUAAAAAAAAAACUCCAAAAAAAAUAGCAAUCCAAACGAGUUCUUAUAUUUUUGUGAUUUAAACAUCUUUCCUAGCUACAUGCUAAUGCUAAUAACAAGUUCAACAUUUUAACAUCAAAAUAAACCUACUGAUCAUCAAGAGGAGAACUUGACAUAGUUAGAAUACCAGGGAAUAUCAAUCAAAAAGUUGGAAAAGAUAUAAGACAAGUUAGUACAAUUUCAGAAGCUUUUAUAUUUAAGAAUGUAAGUCUUACCAUUAUUUUUAAAGUAAAUCGUCAGUAACAGUGUAUAUAUUAUCGCCGUUGAAUGCAUGAUGCACGUGGAAAAAAAUAAAUUUUAAAUUCAAAUUUUACAUAAUUAUUAUUCACACACGAUCAGCAUAUAGAGGAUUAAUUAUUAUUUUUAUCAAAUUCUUAGUGUAAUUUUUUUUCAUUUUUUUAACAUAAGAAAAACAUUUGAUGAUCAUGUGAAGCCUAUCGUAUCAGAUACACAAGUGGAGUGGGUGGGGGUGUGUCCGUUUCCUAGUCAACUUUCUGUCUUUAUUGUCUUUGCCUUCCAAUCUCACCCCAAAGCACAUGCAAAGAAAGAAGUUGACAAAAUUUUUGAACAUGGACUUUUUCGCUAAUUUCCAAAUAGUGUCAUUUCACGAGAAAAUGGACUAUUCAAAGGUAUACUUUUAUGCAUUUCUGCGUGAAUUACAUCCACGCCCCUGCAGUUUUUUCCAAAGAGUUAAUUACCCUUUACCCCCUAAACUUGGGCCUUUAUAGCACUUUGCCCCUUGAAAUCCUCCCUACCCAUAUGUACAUUUAAACAUUUUUGGAAAUUAUCUAUUCAUACUUUAUAGAAUGUAUCCGAAUCAGAGGUGUCAACCACAAUCCAAUUAUAUUGAUUCAUCUAAACUAACCUGCUAAUAAAUGGACUUGGGUAUAUAAUGAAUUUUGAAUGGGUCUAAAUAAAUUAUUCAAUUGAACCCAUUUAAUGGGUUGGGUUGUGGUUUGAUUCGCUCACCCAUUUAUACCCAUUUAAAAGUAAUUAUAUAUUUAAAUUCAAUUUUUAGUGGAUGUGAAGCAGAUAAAUUUGAAUUUCUUAUCAAUCUAAUAAUAAUAAAAUGUCAUCAAACAACAUGCAAUAAAAUAAAAUAAAAUUUCAAGUGAGUUAUAAAUGGGUAAUUAGAUAUAUCCAUACCCACUUAUUAAAUGGUUAUAAAUGAGUGAUUCAUUACCCAUACCUAUUUAUUAAAUGGAUAUAAAUGAGUGAUUCAUUUUGAUCAAUUAUUAAAUGGGUAUAAAUGAAUUGAACUAAUUACACCUAUCAGGCUAUCACCCAAUUAUGACUCGCCCAAACCCACCCGAGCCACUUAAUUUGACACGUCUAAUCCUAAUAUAGAAAGCGUGUGUGCAAGUUUGUGUUUCUCUAGAAGAGGGAAGAAAUAGCGUGCAUAAAUAUAGAGGGCAUGUGAAAUUGAGUCAAUAUUACUAUACUCGUUAAAAUUCAGCAGAUUAGGUGAUAAAUUUUGACUUAAAAAUUAUUAGACAAAUUAUUUGGUGUCUAAUGUAUUCAUUGAUUGGGAGUUUAGGAUGGAAAAUAAAAGAAGGGAUAACUUAAGUUAUGAAAGAAGAGAAGAGAUUGUUAUGUUGUUUGACAGUUUUGAAAAUUAGUGGAAUGAUUUUGGAUAUAAAAGUCAUUAAAUAUUUCUUCAAGGCCUUUUUACGGACAAAAUAGACAUUUUAAAAAAAAAAUUGACAAGCUUCCUCAAACUUUCUUCCCAUUUCUUUCUAAUUUGGAAGAAAAAAUUUUGACUACUAUUCAUCCUCUUAAAUCCUUCCAUUUCCUUUCUUUUCUUUCCUACUAAAAACUAACAAAUGACAAAAAAACUUUCUCUUCUUUCCCUUUCAUUUCUGUCCAAAUCCUCCACUCCCAAACGAGCCCCAGUCUGUGUGGUUGCAACACAGCAGCCACUGGUGCGCAUCAACCAGGAUGAUAGUGACCCUCACCAUUUUCUAGUUUCGUUUUUACUUUGUUUCCCCCUUUCUUUGGAGAAACAGAAGAACAGAAAUAGGGAACUUUUGGCACUGGUGUUGGAAGGCAUGAGAUGAGAUGUCUUUUUAAGAAUUUUGCUUUUUUUUCAUUGUAAGCUGUACACUUUUCUGACGAUAAGUUAAAGACCAAGAGCAGGUUUUGAAGAAACCUAUGUAAAAAACAAUAGAAUGAUCAAAAGAAAAGAUCCCAAAAACAUUUAUGUAAAGUAAAAUUUCUAAGAGAUCACAUGAAGGAAUCAAGAUAACCAUAUUUAUGCCUUCUGUUGUAUUGCAGCAAGCUUGCAUAUGUCCUGUCCCAGACUCCAAUGAAAAGAGACUCAUCAUCUGGACUUAAAGAUACACC
rnacentral:lncRNA from 1 species